rnacentral:lncRNA from 1 species
GGGCUUACAUCUGCUCCCAAAAUAUUUCGUUCGCCAAGGGUUAUCGACUCCCUGGGGGUCACAUCGCCCCCAAAACAUUUCAUUCGUCAUAGCAGGAGCCAACGCUCCUCCUCGUGAGGCCCCACUGGGUCCUCAACAUGAUCAAUUUCUACUUACUUCUCGAACGGUUCAGAUAACCAAAGAAGACCUUCAGCGUAUGAUCACGGAAGAUUCAACUCGUGCUGCCACUGAAUCAGUGGC